AAAUCAUUGCAUCUAAAUUUUAUUUUACAUUCAGGUAUCAUAUGCUUACACUUGCAGUACGUACAUUUAUCAGGUACAGAUUUCACCAAAGACUUUAAAGACAAUGAGCACCAAAAAGAUUUCACCAAAGAUUUUAAAGACGUUGAGCUCCAAAAGCCGGUUCUCAAAUCACAAGGCUAUGACGUACUUUUAAACAGUUACAUGAGAGCCGGAAGUUCUUUAACUGGUAUGGUUUUCGGAUAUAGAUCAGAUUCGUUUUAUGUAUACGAACCCUUGUGGAAAAUCUCACAGUGGACUUAUUGGCAUGGUAAUAGCACGUAUGUAAAGCUGAUCGUCUAGAAUGCAGACAUGUGGAGCCAGGGACAGAAAAU